rnacentral:rRNA from 1 species
UACGUAGGGGGCUAGCGUUGUCCGGAAUCAUUGGGCGUAAAGCGCGCGUAGGCGGUCCGGUAAGUCCGCUGUGAAAGUCGGGGGCUCAACCCUCGAAUGCCGGUGGAUACUGUCGGGCUAGAGUGCGGAAGAGGCGAGUGGAAUUCCUGGUGUAGCGGUGAAAUGCGCAGAUAUCAGGAGGAACACCUAUUGCGAAGGCAGCUCGCUGGGACGUAACUGACGCUGAGACGCGAAAGCGUGGGGAGCAAACAGG